rnacentral:rRNA from 1 species
GAUGAACGCUAGCUACAGGCUUAACACAUGCAAGUCGAGGGGUAACGAGAGGAAAGCUUGCUUUCCUUGUCGACGACCGGCGCACGGGUGAGUAACGCGUAUCCAACCUGCCCCCAACUAGGGAAUAACCUUGCGAAAGUAAGACUAAUACCCUAUAAUUUCCUCAGAUGUCAUCUGACGAGGAAUAAAGAUUUAUCGGUUGUGGAUGGGGAUGCGUCUGAUUAGCUUGUUGGCGGGGUAACGGCCCACCAAGGCAACGAUCAGUAGGGGUUCUGGAAGGAAGGUCCCCAACAUUGGAAGUGAGAAACGGUCCAAACUCCUACGGGAGGCAGCAGUGAGGAAUAUUGGUCAAUGGGCGGAAGCCUGAACCAGCCAACUAGCGUGCAGGAUGUCGGCCCUAUGGGUUGUAAACUGCUUUUAUACAGGAAUAAAGUUAGCCACGUGUGGUUAUUUGUAGGUACUGUAUGAAUAAGGACCGGCUAAUUCCGUGCCAGCCGCCGCUGUAA